rnacentral:rRNA from 1 species
UACGUAGGGGGCAAGCGUUGUCCGGAUUUAUUGGGCGUAAAGAGCGUGUAGGCGGCUUGGUAGGUCCGCUGUGAAAACUCGAGGCUCAACCUCGAGACGCCGGUGGAAACCAUCAGGCUAGAGUCCGGAAGAGGAGAGUGGAAUUCCUGGUGUAGCGGUGAAAUGCGCAGAUAUCAGGAAGAACGCCCGUGGCUAAGGCGGCUCUCUAGUACGGUACUGACGCUGAGACGCGAAAGCGUGGGGAGCGAACAGG